UAAGUAAGUGUUUAAGGGCGCAUGGUGGAUGCCUUGGCAUCGAGAGCCGAUGAAGGACGUGGGAGGCUGCGAUAUGCCUCGGGGAGCUGUCAACCGAGCAUUGAUCCGAGGAUUUCCGAAUGGGGAAACCCAGCACGAGUGAUGUCGUGUUACCCGUAUCUGAAUAUAUAGGGUGCGGGAGGUAACGCGGGG
rnacentral:rRNA from 1 species